rnacentral:rRNA from 1 species
UACGUAGGGUGCAAGCGUUGUCCGAAAUUAUUGGGCGUAAAGAGCUCGUAGGCGGUCUGUCGCGUCUGCUGUGAAAACUCAGGGCUUAACCCUGAGCUUGCAGUGGGUACGGGCAGACUAGAGUGCGGUAGGGGAGACUGGAAUUCCUGGUGUAGCGGUGGAAUGCGCAGAUAUCAGGAGGAACACCGGUGGCGAAGGCGGGUCUCUGGGCAGUAACUGACGCUGGAGGAGCGAAAGCGUGGGGAGCGAACAGG